GGAUUCCUUCGGGGCUGGGUGAAAUUCCCAACCGGCGGUGAUGAGGGUGACCUCUUAGUCCGUGACCCGUUUUCAAAUGUUGAAAACGGUGGAUUUGGUGAAAUUCCAAAGCCGACAGUUAAAGUCUGGAUGGGAGAAGGAAUGA
rnacentral:ncRNA from 2 species